GCCUGGAAGUGGCCAUUUUGUACCUGGUUGCUGCUUACUGAAUUCUCUUUUUCCUUGCUAGCAAGUCUGAUGCAUUCAUUCUCUUUGUGACUUGAAUGACUAGAGGACAAGAGAUCUGAGAACUUAAAGCAAUUCUCCCCAGCAGAGCUGCCAACAGCCCUGUUUUGGUUCUGACCAUGUCCGUUUUUGAAAAAAACAGAUCAUAUAACUGCUGCACUAGUCAAGUCCCUGGGACGGACAGGCAGCCAAGCUGUUCUUCAGCCCACUCCCCUUGUCCUUGUCAGCUUUCUUUCUUAGCUUCAGGCAGCUGGCUCCGUCUCCAGCAUCCACCUCUCUACCGGGCUCAACAAGAAGCUUCCAUGGAGACUGAAAGCAGAGGUAUGCUAUCCUUAGGAGCAUUUAUUGAGAAGUACAGCUUUGCCUUUCCCUUUUAUGAAGAUGACAUCCACCUAGGAUUGCUUUCUGCGUGGGUUGGAUUUUUCCAAGAUGAAUGAUUUCCAGUGGUCUAUAGCUCAAUCCAAGUUAAAACUGGAGAAGACAGUUUUUGAUUCUCAGCAGGAGUUACUGUCUAUCCAAAAACUUCAACAGAUUUCUGUGCAGAAUUCUCUGAUUCCCAUUUCUCUAUCUGUGAGGAAUUUGGGAGGUUAAUGUUGAAUUUGCAGAUUUCCUUUGAUAAAUAUAUUAAAAAUAUUGUUUAAAAGAACUUUUUAUUAUCUGAAAAAUAUAGUGGGAAUGAAAUCCUGCCUGACUUCUGUGAUUUUGGAGAAAGUUUUACCUGCUUUUGUUGUACUUACUUUGGAUUGCUGCAAUUGUGUGUUUGCAGCUUUGCCAACAUUUAGUGCAGAGGUGCCUUUGGCCCAGAAUGCAGCACGAAGAAUGAUUCUGGUGGUACCUAUAGGAAUAAGCAUAUUUUUUUCCUAAACUCAGUGUGUUCAUAUUUCAGUCUUGUUGAUCUAAAGGAGGCUUAAUGACUUAAGCUCAAACUUGUUGGCAGAGCUGCUUUUUUGAGAGUGGAAUGGACAACUUAUUCCUAAUGCCGGACUGUGUCAUCCCUGAAAGCUGUGGUCUGGUUCUUCUCAUGACCUCUAUGUUUUCUGGGCAUAGGAUCUAGGUUCCAGACUGUGGGGGCUCAAAGCUUCAAUCUUUUAGUUUCUAACCGGCGUUUUCCCUCAUACUCCCUCCCACCCCAUAAGUAUCUAAUACAGUUGCCUGUAGCAACCCCUGGCUGCAACAGGACACAACAUAACUGUCAGCCACAUACUGUCCAUAUGCCAAUGUUCAGUCAGAGUACAAAAGCAUAUCUGUUCUUUUCAAAAUAGCUAGGGUGAGAGAUUAACAAACAACUUAAUAGCACUUGUGCAGGCCUGAUAUAUUCCGUUCACCUUUUUUUCAUUUGAGGAGUGAAAUGGGAGGGUAUUUUUAAAGCAACAGAUUUGAUUAAUGUAUCAGGAUUUUUUAUUAAGAAACAUAAUUUGGGUCAUUGCACUUAUAUUGUAAAGCUUGACAUAAAUAUCCUGAAACAAAAAGUAUCACAGUCGAAGUGUGUACUGGAAGAAACUCUUGUAGAAGCUCAUUUUUUUUAGGUCUCGUCUAUAGCGGUUUCUUUGCCUUUAAUAUUAAUUGACAUUAAUGUAAAGAAACAUACUGGACACAUA